UGGCACAGAGUGCGUGCUCAGUAAAUAUUUGUGGCUCAAUGAGUGGUUGGAUUCUAGUCUUAGGCUCCACUAGCUGCAUUUGGGACAAAGCUUGUUACCUUUCUGUCUUCAUCAUUUGCAAAAUGGGAAUAGAAAUCUUGCAAGAUGUGGAACAACAGAAGCCAUCCAACGCUGCUGGUGCGAGAUCAGUUCUACCACCACUUUAUAAGGCAUCUCUUAAAGUUAAACAUAGGCUUGCUUUACAACUCAGCAAUUCCACUACUUAGUGUAUUCUCAGCAAAAAUACAUGCACGUGUGGAGCAAAAGGCAAGGAAGCUGGUAGCAGCAACGUUCAUCAUAACCCCAAACUCAGCAUCCCCCCAUGCCCAUCAAAAGAAUGAAUAAAUAGAAUGGGCAAAUAUCUUGUGGGAUGGGCACUCACUGGAAUCUCUAUAGUGAUGGAAAUGACCAAAAAUUGCCCACAGCCACAUGGACGAAUCUCAUAAACAGAAUGUUACAUGAAAGAAGCCAUAGGCAAAAGGGCACGUGUUGCAUCUCCCAUUUAUGUGAGUCCCAAAACAGCAAAACUAAUCCGUGCCACCAGAGAUAAGAUAGUGGUUACCUUGGGGCAAGGGUUAGAUGCUAAGAGGGCAUUGAAGGGGGCUUCAGGAGAGCUUAUAACAUUCUGUUUCCUGAUCUAGGUGCUGGGUAUGGGAAGGGAUGUUUGGUUUCUGAAAACUCAUUGAGCUAUUUACAUAUAUGCAUUUUUCUUACGUGUAAUGCACUUUAACAAUUUUGCAAUAAAAAUAUUGGCCGGUUGUGAUGGCUCACACCUGUAAUCCCAACACUUUGGGAGGCUGAGGCUGGAGGAUUGCUUGAGGCCAGGAGUUCGAGAUCAGCCUAGGCAAUGCAGCAAGACCCUAUGUCUACAAAAAGCUUGAAAACUUAGCUGGAGGUAGCAGCACGCAUCUGUAGUCACCACUACUUGGGAGGCUGAGGCAGGGGGAUUGCUUGAGCCUAGGAGUUCAAAGUUACAGUGAGCUAUGAUUGCAAAACUGCACUCCAGCCUGGUGAUAGAGCAAGACUUUGUCACUCUAAAAAGUCCAUAUAUGUAUUUAUAACGCAGGAUGCUUGUAAGGAGUAAAGCCAUGAAAAACCAUUUGCAGUAUAUUUCAUAUGUGAUGGGUUCAUGGAAAAUGCUUAUUAAAUGUCACUUAAUCCAGCCAGGCACAGUGGCUCAUACCUGUAAUCCCAGCUCUUUGCGAGGCCAAGGUGGGUGGAUCAUUUGAGCUCAGGAGUUUGAGACCAGCCUGGCCAACAUGGUGAAACUCCGUCUCUACUAAAAAUACAAAAAUUAGCCAGGCAUGGCGAUUUUGUUGCCUGUAAUUCCAGUUACUCAGGAAGCUGAGGCAGGAGAAUUGCUUGAACCCAGGAGGCAGAGGUUCAGUGAGCCAAGUUCAUUCCACUGCACUCCAGUCUGGGCAACAGAGUGAGGCUCCAUCUCACCAAAAAAAAAAAAAAAAAAA
ensembl:lncRNA